GACGAACGCUGGCGGCGUGCUUAACACAUGCAAGUCGAACGGAAAGGCCCUGCUUUUGUGGGGUGCUCGAGUGGCGAAAGGGUGAGUAACCCGUGAGUAACCUGCCCUUGACUUUGGGAUAACUUCAGGAAACUGGGGCUAAUACCGGAUAGGAGCUCCUGCUGCAUGGUGGGGGUUGGAAAGUUUCGGCGGUUGGGGAUGGACUCGCGGCUUAUCAGCUUGUUGGUGGGGUAGUGGCUCACCAAGGAUUUGACGGGUAGCCGGCCUGAGAGGGUGACCGGCAACAUUGGGACUGAGAUACGGCCCCGCCUCCUACGGGAGGGAGCAGGGGGGAAUGUUGCACAAUGGGCGGAAGCCUGAUGCAGCAACCCCGCGUGCUGGAUGACGGCCUUCGGGUUGUAAACCGCUUUCGCCUGUGACGAAGCGUGAGUGACGGUAAUGGGUAAAGAAGCACCGGCUAACUACGUU
rnacentral:rRNA from 1 species